CCAUAGCUCAGUGGGAGAGCAUCUGCUUUGCAUGCAGAAGGUCCCAGAUUCAACCUAGAAUCAUAGAGUUGGAAGA